UUAUAGAAAUGAAAAUGUACAUGAAAGAACACUAGACAUCAAACAAUAUAUUAAUUUGAAUGUGUUUCAUAUCUCCAAAAAUAAGUUGAUUAUAUAGGGAAUCACUGAAGCAUGACUGGAGUGCCCCCCCUUUUUUUUUUAGGUCUGUCUUUGGGCCCACCUUAUAAAAAGUACUGGAUCUCCCGCAGAUUAAACAUGUUUGUGAAUGCUCAACAAUGCACUAACAUGGGACAAUAAGAAUAAGGGAUCAGCUUUGGGUUUGUGUAUAAGGAUCAAGACUGGAAAUGGCAAUUAGAUCAGACUUUUAAAGCUGAUGUGAGGACUGAUUCCAUGGUGUUGGAAGUAAGAACUGGCGAUUUGAUACUGCUAACAUAUUGGUUAGCAUCACAGCUUGUCCUUUUGGAUACUGGCUGGAGUAGAAUUUGGAUCCUUUUUGAGGUGCCCUUGUGUGGUCAAUCCAAUGGAGAAUAACAAUCAUGCAGACCAGAUAUAUAUUGCUCUUUUGUGUUUAAUAAAAUCUUUAAAUGGUAAUUCUGAAAGCCAAAUGAUUCAUUUUUUUAUGCUGUUAUUUUUCUAUUUACUGUAAAUUAAUAAAUUUUUGUUUUGAAUACUGUUAUUCAUUCGGCUCAAAUGUAGUAUACAGAUAUGUAGUUCCAGCUUUUGAUGUGUAUUCCUUAGCAAAUAAAUAACUUGUAUUAUAGUUAUAAAAAAAGUUAAUUUAUACUUAUCAUUUUGGAAAAUUAUAAUUGUAAUUGUUGACAAUUUGAUAGAAUAAAAAAGUCUUUUAUGGUUGACUGUAUUAAAGCUAAUUUUUGCCGAAAUUACGGGCUUUGGACUUUAAGAAAUUGUUGAAAAUCAGUUAUACAGAUUUUUUUUCUGGAAGCCUCCAGAUUUUGAGGUUAUUUUUAAUAUGUGAGACUACCAUCAGGUUUAUGUCCACAUGUGUUAUUGAAAUUGCAGAUUUUCCAACUUUUUAGGAAGCCAUCUAGUUUUUUAAUA